UACAGAGGGUGCGAGCGUUGUUCGGAAUUACUGGGCGUAAAGCGCGCGCAGGCGGCCUUUUAAGUCUACCCGUGAAAUGCCGGAGCUCAACUCCGUGCACGCCGGGGGAUACUGGGAGGCUGGAGACAGGUAGAGGCAAGCGGAAUUCCAGGUGUAGCGGUGAAAUGCGUAGAUAUCUGGAGGAACACCGGUGGCGAAGGCGGCAUCCUGGACCAAUACUGACGCUGAGGAGCGAAAGCCAGGGGAGCAAACGGG
rnacentral:rRNA from 1 species